rnacentral:rRNA from 1 species
UGGGGAAUAUUGCACAAUGGGCGCAAGCCUGAUGCAGCCAUGCCGCGUGUGUGAAGAAGGCCUUCGGGUUGUAAAGCACUUUCAGUAAGGAGGAAAGGUUAAGUGUUAAUAGCACUUAGCUGUGACGUUACUUACAGAAGAAGCACCGGCUAACUCCGUGCCAGCAGCCGCGGUAAUACGGAGGGUGCGAGCGUUAAUCGGAAUUACUGGGCGUAAAGCGUACGCAGGCGGUUUGUUAAGCGAGAUGUGAAAGCCCCGGGCUCAACCUGGGAACUGCAUUUCGAACUGGCAAACUAGAGUGUGAUAGAGGGUGGUAGAAUUUCAGGUGUAGCGGUGAAAUGCGUAGAGAUCUGAAGGAAUACCGAUGGCGAAGGCAGCCACCUGGGUCAACACUGACGCUCAUGUACGAAAGCGUGGGGAGCAAACAGGAUUAGAUACCCCCGUAGUCC